ACAUGCCUACAAAAUAGCAUUAAUGCACUAGAUCCCAUUAGAACUCCAUAGUUAAGCGCACUUAGGCUAGAGUGGUACUGGGAUGGGUGACCGCCUAGGAAGUCCUAGUGUUUUACAUGCC
rnacentral:rRNA from 1 species